UGGGGAAUUUUGGACAAUGGGGGCAACCCUGAUCCAGCCAUGCCGCGUGAGUGAAGAAGGCCUUCGGGUUGUAAAGCUCUUUCGGCGGGGACGAAACGGUCCGUGACAACACCACGGACUAAUGACAGUACUCGCAGAAGAAGCACCGGCUAACUACGUGCCGGCAGCCGCGGUAAUACGUAGGGUGCAGGCGUUAAUCGGAAUUACUGGGCGUAAAGCGUGCGCAGGCGGCUCCUUAAGUCAGAUGUGAAAUCCCCGGGCUUAACCUGGGAACUGCGUUUGAAACUGAGGGGCUAGAGUGUGGAAGAGGGGGGUGGAAUUCCAGGUGUAGCAGUGAAAUGCGUAGAGAUCUGGAGGAACACCGAUGGCGAAGGCAGCCCCCUGGGCUGACACUGACGCUGAGGCGCGAAAGCCAGGGGAGCAAACGGGAUUAGAUACCCCCGUAGUCCCUGAGCGGGCUGGCAAGGCGCAU
rnacentral:rRNA from 1 species